rnacentral:lncRNA from 1 species
GACUACUUAUCAUAUAUAUACUUAAUGUGACAUUCUUAGUGUUCAGAUACAUUAACUUUCAUUUUAGUGGGUAAUUACUCAUCAAUUGAGGUGCCCCUUAAUUGGAGAAAGAUUCUAAAAACAUAACUUUACAGAAAGAAUGAAUACUGCAGUUGCUCUCCCCAAUCUCAAUAGGAAUAAACUACAAAAAGCAACAUUUUUUUUUUUUAUUUUAUUUUUUAACCAUUUCAAUAAUUAUGUUGGUACACAAAAAUUUUUUUAUAUAGAAGACUACUUAUCAUAUACUAAAUGUCACAUUUUAAGUGUUCAGAAACAUUUACUUUGAUUUUAGUGUAUAAUUACUCAUCAAUUGAGGUGCUCCUGAAUUGGGGGAAGAUUCUAAAAACAAAACUUUACAGAAACAAUGAAAACUGCCGUUUCUCUCCCCUAUCUCAUGUAUCCCCAUUGACAUUGUUUACCGCGAAAGUUGACCUACAAAUUAUCUGAUUAUAGCCUCAGAUUAAAGCAUUGCAUGUUGGUGUGUGAAUCAACUACACUGCAGCAAACAUUAUUAGGUUUACAUUUAACAAAUACGGAUUUUAAAUUAGUAUACAAAUACUGUGAAUGAUUUUUAUAAUGAAUAAAGGAUAUCCCUGUGUAGGUCGGCAUUCCAACAAUGACGUCACUAGGUUAGAUAUAUUUAGAAUAUUUCGUAAUACUGAUUUUUCCGGACUGUAAAAGAAACGUAUAUAGUGUAAGGGAAAGCUCAAUAUACGAUAAUUUCACGAGAUACAGAAGGGAAAUGUGUAAAAAAAUGUAUUUAAAGUCAAUCUGUUCUCCUUGUCAUCAAUUUCAGUAUGACAUUUUGAGGGGGUUUCCAAACUAUCAAAACAAAAUGAUUGACGUGAGGGAAUGAUACUCUGGCCAAC